rnacentral:rRNA from 13 species
GAUGCCAUACUUCCAGGAAAAUCUUCUAAGCUUCAGGUAAGAAUUGACCGUACUGUAAACCGACACAGGUGAUCAGGUAGAGAAUACCAAGGCGCUUGAGAGAACUAUCUUGAAGGAACUCGGCAAAAUACCUCCGUAAGUUCGCGAGAAGGAGGCCCAGUUCUAAGGCAACUUGGAGCUGGGGGCACAAACCAGGGGGUGGCGACUGUUUACUAAAAACACAGGGCUCUGCGAAGUCGCAAGACGACGUAUAGGGUCUGACGCCUGCCCGGUGCCUGAAGGUUAAAAGGAGGGGUGAGAGCUCUGAAUUGAAGCCCAGGUAAACGGCGGCCGUAACAAUAACGGUCCUAAGGUAGCGAAAUUCCUUGUCGGGUAAGUUCCGACCUGCACGAAUGGCGUAACGACUUCCCCACUGUCUCAACUGGAGGCCCAGCGAAAUUGGAGUGCGCGUGCAGAUACGCGCUACCCGCAGAAGGACGAAAAGACCCCGUGAACCUUUACUGUAGCUUGGCAUUGGGUUUCGAAUAACAUUGCGUAGGAUAGGUGGGAGUUUUUGAUCUGUGCAUUCCGGUGUACAGGGAGACAACCUUGAAAUACCACCCUUUGUUAUUUGGAAUCCUAACCUACUGUCGUUAUCCGGCAGGGGGACAAUGUCUGGUGGGCAGUUUGACUGGGGCGGUCGCCUCCUAAACAGUAACGGAGGCGCACGAAGGUUCCCUCAGGCCGUAUGGAAACCGGCCGUAGAGUGUAAGCGCAUAAGGGAGCUUGACUGUGAGACUUACAAGUCGAGCAGGUACGAAAGUAGGUGUUAGUGAUCCGGUGGUUCCGCGUGGAAGGGCCAUCGCUCAACGGAUAAAAGGUACUCCGGGGAUAACAGGCUGAUACCGCCCAAGAGUUCACAUCGACGGCGGUGUUUGGCACCUCGAUGUCGGCUCAUCACAUCCUGGGGCUGAAGCCGGUCCCAAGGGUAUGGCUGUUCGCCAUUUAAAGUGGUACGCGAGCUGGGUUUAGAACGUCGUGAGACAGUUCGGUCCCUAUCUGCCGUGGACGUUGGAGAUUUGAGGAAAGCUGCUCCUAGUACGAGAGGACCGGAGUGGACGAACCUCUGGUGUUCCGGUUGUUUCGCCAGAAGCAUUGCCGGGUAGCUAAGUUCGGACGGGAUAACCGCUGAAAGCAUCUAAGCGGGAAGCCUCCCUUAAGAUAAGCAAUCAUCGAACCGUCAUAGACCAUGACGUUGAUAGGCCGGGUGUGGAAGAGCAGUAAUGUGUGGAGCUAACCGGUCCUAAUAGUUCUU